rnacentral:rRNA from 1 species
AACGAACGCUGGCGGCAUGCCUAACACAUGCAAGUCGAACGAGACCUUCGGGUCUAGUGGCGCACGGGUGCGUAACGCGUGGGAAUCUGCCCUCAGGUACGGAAUAACUCAGGGAAACUUGAGCUAAUACCGUAUAAUGACUUCGGUCCAAAGAUUUAUCGCCUGGGGAUGAGCCCGCGUCGGAUUAGCUAGUUGGUGAGGUAAAGGCUCACCAAGGCGACGAUCCGUAGCUGGUCUGAGAGGAUGAUCAGCCACACUGGGACUGAGACACGGCCCAGACUCCUACGGGAGGCAGCAGUGGGGAAUAUUGGACAAUGGGCGCAAGCCUGAUCCAGCAAUGCCGCGUGAGUGAUGAAGGCCUUAGGGUUGUAAAGCUCUUUUACCCGGGAAGAUAAUGACUGUACCGGGAGAAUAAGCCCCGGCUAACUCCGUGCCAGCAGCCGCGGUAAUACGGAGGGGCUAGCGUUGUUCGGAAUUACUGGGCGUAAAGCGCACGU